GACAUUGACGUGUACUGUUCCUUCAAUCUUCAUUUCAAUGCAAUGAGCUAAGUACUAUAUUAUUCUCUCUCUCAUUUUUUUUUUCAGAUGAAAACACGGGACCUGAGUAUUUAAGUACGUUUGCUGAGGCUACCAGCUACCAAGUGUAGGUAACCAUAAUUCUAAUUCAACAGACUCUUCUACAUGCUCUGGGUCCACUAUGUUGCUAGAGAAGAGCAAACAGAUAAGCCUUAAUUUCAUUCCUGGGCCUUAUGAAGAAAGAUGUGCACAACUACAGCAGCUUACAAGAGAGGCAUGAGGUCACAAAGACUUCCUGCCUUUAGAUUGGGAUGGGAAGAAGGAAGAUAUGAAACCUGAUGCUAGAUGACUUUGAACCUCUCUUCUAGUUUGUUCCAUAUUUAUGACAGCAAAACACAAGUAUAAAUAAGACUCAGAGGAUCAAGUAGCAUGAGGCAAGCAAGGUGCCUAGGUGUAAAAUGUAGAGAGGACCCUUAGGUUUGUGCAAGAGUAAGUCCUGUGCUCACAAUCCUGAGAGUGAACACCUUUUGGGUUGCAUCCUGAGCAGGUAAGUGUCUUACUGACCUCUUCCUGGUCUUGGCCCUAGUUGCAAAGACUAAAUGAGAUCCUUUGUGAAGGUGCUUGGCAUAUAGUAGGCUUCCUCUAUACUAAUUUUCUUCUUUUUCUUGAAACAAAUACCAGGUCCUUCUUGAAGAACACAGUUGAUUACAAAUGAGGCAUGAGAUCACAAAGACUUCCUGCCUUUGAGUUGGGAUAUGAAGGAGUAAGGGUCUGAUCACAAACUCCACCAUUAGACAGCUCCACUUCCUUGGCCCCACUCUGUAACCCUUUCUUCCUCCCUAGGUGAAGGCCUCAUUUCAAAUCUGUGGAAAAUGCACACAUCUGCUGUCCCAGAGAGGAUCCUAUUUCCUGGGCCUCUCAGACACUGAUUCUCUAGAACAUUUUCAUGGUGUUUGUGUGUACCCCCACCCUUCUGCCAUUGUUUCAGCUAUCCAAAGUGUACCCACAUGUGACCUGUCUGAAAGAGGUCUCCCACCAGGGGGUUCAUGUCAUAUAAGCAUAUAAUUACCCUUUAGAAAAGCAGCUGUGAUUCAGGGGAGCUUGUGGAUCAUUUUGUUAGACUCUCAUUUCAAGCACGUUGCACCUAAGAUUCAGGGAAAAGGAAUGACUUGUCCACUGCCUGUGAGUUAGUGCCACUUGUAAGUAGAGCAGAGUCUUCUGCUCAGUGCUGUGGUUCUGGGUUUCUGUAGUUUUUCUGCACCGUGGGUAACAUGUGCUGUCAGUGAGGGUAAAUAUGACUUUCCAGGGCAGGAAUCAUGCUCUAAACAACAAAGUCUUUUCCUUUCUGGAGAAAGCUGCUUGAACAAAGCUCAGGGAUGAUCUUUUCUCCUUGCCCAAGAAUUCCAAAUUUGUCCAUCAAUAACUUCAUGGAAGAAGAAACUCUGUACUCCGGGUGCCUUCUUGCUGGAGAGGGAACAGAAUAAAUGAAACUGUGUGUGUGAGUGCAUGUGUGUGUUUCUGUGGGUGUCUAAAUGAGGGGUUAUUUGGUAGCAGUUUCCCUUCCUUUCAAAUCAAAUUGUAGCAUUUUCCAUUUCAAGGACCUAGUACAGUGCUUGAUGCAAGCCAUGCUCAGUUUCUGAGCAUCUCCCUAUCCUCUCCUACCUUCUUGUAUUCCCAGCACACAAGCCCCAGAGAGAAAGCUAGGCUAAUCUUAACCAUAUGGAUGCUGCCAACAUAGCAUAACAAUUGUGCUUUAAGGGAUUAUUGCUUUAUGCAUCUUUCUCCGCCUUUCCCAUCUUCCUAAUGAUGACAAAGUCACAUGGCCACUUCUGUUCUCUUUUCCCUCCGGUCACAAAGUGCCUCCUACUAGAAGUCUGGUUACUUGCUAAUUACUAAUGAAGUCUGAUCUGAUAGAGCCCCCAGUCUUGAGGAUGCUCUGAUCCACAGAGAACUGGAGCUGUGUAUUUUUUCUCUUUGGGAGUUGACAGAGUCAUCAUGGACCUCAGGUACAAAGUGCUUCUGAAAGAAAUGCUUGUCUAAUGAUAUUUUGCAAAUUAGGGAUUGAACCCAGGGCCAGGCACAUGCUAGGCAAGCACUCUACCAGGGAGCUAUAGCCCAGUCCUCAGGCUGUCUUCUGUCCUGAAUUAUCUUAGAAACUAAGGAAAUUGUUUCUAUGCAUCAUUUACCCAAUAUGUCUCUGGUGGGGGCUAUGGAUUAAUAAUUCUGUCUGGUCUUGAUAAUAGAAAAAUAAUUCCAUUAACACCCUUUUAUUUUUUUAACUUUGCAAUUAUACUUGAAGGUAUUUCUAUUAUCUUCAUUUUUUACUAAAAAUGACUGGUCCAAAAAUCAUAUAAGUAAUAAGAGCAAGACUCAGGACUUAAAAUCCAGGUACACUAAGGUCAAAGUGACACCAGAUACUUUCAGAUACUUCCCCAACAUAUGUUUGUGCCCAACUACUCCAAGUGUGGCCCACAGUCCAGCAGUGGGGCCAUCACCUGGGAGCCUGGAAGAAACACAAAAUUUCAGAACCUCAUUCCAGAACUACUGAAUCAGAAUCUGCAUUUCAACAAAAUUCCUGGGUAACUCCUGUGCAACCUGAGGUUGGAAAAGCAGCACUGUGUGAUAAAAAUAUAUUCUCUACUCUAUGAUACUUAAAGUUUUCUUGUAGUCCCAUUGAAAAAGCACAAAGAAUCAGGUGAGAUUCAUUUUAAUUUUAAUAUUGCAUUUUAACCCCAAAUAUAGAAAAUAAUAUUUCCACAUGUGUCAAUAUAAAAAAAAUGAUUCAUGAAAAAUAUUAAGUUCUAUUUUUGUACUAAGUCUUUGAAAUCUGAUGUGUUGAUCUCUCACACAUCUCUAUUCAGGCUACUCCUAUGUCCCUGGCUCAGGAAUCACAUUGACUCUCAUAUGGAUGGUGUAGCUACAGAGCAGGAUUCUCAAACUUCAGUGGCAAUCAGAAUCAUCUGGGGGCUGUAACAACACAGAUGGCCAAGUGUCUGCCUUCAGAGCUGCCAAAUCCAGAUAUCAGGGUUGGGAACCGAAGAAGUGGCAUCAUAACAGGUUCCAAAAGAUGCCACUGUGGCUGGACCUAGGACAAUACUCUGAUAUCCACUGUUGCCUCAUCAAGGGGUCAUAAAGUUUUGGAUUCAGAGGAGGGAAACAAAGAGAACUCGGACAUGGAGGAUGAAAAUAAAAUUACAACCAGAACAAGAACCAAAGCGCCUCGAGCUAUAGAUGCAUCUGGGAAGAUCUAGUUGUUGACAAGAAGGCCAAUAAGCAGGAAGAUUUGACCAAAGGUUUACUCUAUUUGGGGAGAAUGCACGUUCUUAUCCAGGCUCAUUAACUGCAAUGUUACUCUUGCACUAAAGAAUACCUUCACCUGCGGGCUACUGGACACUUCCUUCAAUCUCUUACAACCUCUGUUAUCUUCUUCCUUAAAAGCCACUUCCAAUCUCCCUGUUUUUUCUAACUACUUUCCACCUCCUUUUGUCCCACUUAGUAGGGCCUUUGGCUCUAAGGUUUGUCCCACCCACAGUUCAUUGUGCACACUACAGCCAGAAAGACCCUUUACAAAGAUAAAUCCAUUCACAUCUGUUCUUUGACAUAAAUAAUCCAAAAGCUUCCCCUUAACUUCAGUAUAAAAUCUAACCUGUUCCUCUGACCUUCGAGGCACUCUAGGACACCCCCUGAUGAUCCUCUGGUCACAUGCACUGCUCUGCCCUUAGCACCAGGCUCCAGGACACUGUCCUCUUUGUUCUUUUUGAACAACAAGUGAAUAAGCACUUUUCUGGAUCUUGACCUUUACAUUGGUGGUCCCUCUGCUUAGAACUCUCUUCCCCUCUGAUUUUUCAGGCCAGCUGCUUCUUCCUUCAUGUCUGCUUAAAUGCCCCUUCUUCCUAGAAAGCUGGAGAGCUCACCCUAUGGAAAGUGGCAUUCAUAAACCCUAGUCCUCUUUGCAGCAUUUGGAUCAUUUUCUUCAUGCUGUUUAACACGAUUUGUUCUGACAUGGCUAUUAGUGUGUACUGCUUCAAUAGUCUGUAAGAAACUAGAGGAGCAGGACCAUGGAUAUGAUCAUUUUUGUAUGCACUCUAGCCCAGCACAAUGGUAGAUAGAACUUCUUGUAGUUAUUGCUUAACUGGAUAAUUCUGUUAUGUUAAUAAAGUAUAAAGACACAAACAAUAGAAAAGAUGCUCUUGAAUGUUUUCAAUUGCUCAAGGCCAUUGGGUGAUUGCAGCAGAGAAAGGGAGCUUCAGUAUUGAUAUUAUCAUAAUCCAUAUUAGCAUGUUCAAAAAUAAUCCCCCCUAAACAGAAAAACGGACCAGGUCAGGCUGGCUGCAUUAUGAGGUUUAACAUCAAGAGGAAAAUGUGUCAGUUAUUCACAGAAAAAUCCUCAUCAGGUGGCAUGGAGAACAAUUUUCAUUUUCUUUAUUUGGACAAAAGGUAGAACCUGAUAGCUCCUUUGCCGUUUUAAAUUAUAUUGAAUCCCACAUGGUUGCUUACUGUAGAAUUGUAUUUUUAGGCUUUAGCUAUAAUCUGUGGAUGUAUCCUGUUUCCUUUUAUAGCCAGACCGUAGCUAUCGAUUCCCAGGAUCUUCAUUCCUCCCUCGUCUAGGUGCAAACAAUAUAUAAUCUUAGGCAGGGGUGAUUGCCUCCUGCCCAGAGGGGGUUGCCCAAGAAAUCCCAGGGCCAGCUCAGCGUGACCUCCUCUUCACUGCUGCUCAUCCAGGGUGGGCUGCAGAGCAUCAGUUGGGGGCUUCAUUGCCUGAGGCAGAGAUUCUAAUAAAUCAGCUAGAAUCCCGCAGAGGGGCCCCACCACUUCGCAUUUAGAUGUAAGCAGACCUGAACCAGCGCUAACCAUUCUUCAUUAUGCCAGGUGCCUCCUUUUCUCUGGAGGAGCCUUUUGUUGUGCCUGGACUUAUAGGGAAUCCUGGAGUCUGUGCUAUUGUAAGCCACCAAGCUGGCUCUGUGUGUGUGGGGAGGCGGGGGGGUGUGCACAUGCUCAUACGCCUUUUCUCCCUCCUUUCUUCUUUUUUUGUUAUCAUUAAUAAUGAAAUAUUGAGACCAGGCUGCUAAUGAGCCUAAACUCCCUCCUGUUAGUUUAUUUUUCGCCUUCAGACUGUCACUUCAGAGUAAAUUACUUUUCUCUGCAUCUUGUUCCAGUAAUAUCACACCAGCAUGACCCUCCCCCUCCCACCCCGGUUCUAAUUUCAGGGUUGUUCAGUUUCCCUCACUGCAGUUUACUAAGCAAGGGAGGUCGUCCCAUCUAUCAUACUCAGACCUGGGCAACAUGUCCCCUCCUGCAAUUGAGACAUCAUUCUUGUUGCACUGGGGCGAGUCAGGUUUUAAAGACUUACACAAUACACAUAGAUAUGACCCAUAAAUAAGUGAAUAAAUAAUAUAUUCCCGUAUCUGUAUUUUUAUUUCUUGAGUUCCGUGGAAAAAAUGAUUUAGAGGCCAUGAGGCAGAGACAGAGACUGGUUUUGGAGGGAGGGGGCCAAAUAAAGAGACGAGCUGCAGUCCCUGUCAUCUGCCACCGCAGCCGCAUCUGCUCGGUGCUGGCUCCUGUUCAUUUCAUGGCAUGCUAAGCAUUUCCUUGUCAAUUGGGAGAUGUCAGGAUGUGAAAACAACCAACAUUAAGUAGAUAUUUUGUGCCAGCACGAUAGCAAGUGUCUCCAAUAUGCUUUUGUCUUCUGUUCAAAGAUGCUAAACUGGCCUUCAUCAAACAGCCACUAUCUCAACUUGCUUCUGCUAUCUGUGAACACAGAGAAUGAGGUACAGCUUUCCCUUGCUUUCAUUUUCACCUGGCUUCUCUCUCUCUCUCUCUCUCUCUUUCUCUCCUCCCUUCCUCUUUCAUGCUCCUUAAAAAUGAGUGCUCAUGUGCCUUUGCUUAUAUACCCCAGCUUUGCCAUUUAUUAUGUGAUCUUUGACAACUAAUUCAACAUCUCCAGGUCCAUGUCCUUGUCUAGAGAGUGCUAGUAAUGACAGGGUUGACAUCAUAAUGUUUUGAAGACUAAAUGAAUUAACACAUGUAAUAUGCUUAACACAGUGCCUCAUAGUUAUACAUGCCCCAUAGAAUUUUUCAGCUUCCUUUCUUCUUUGGUUGUGUGUGUGUGUGCAUGUGUGCAUAUAUGUGUGUGUAUGUGUGUACUAGUAGCAAUUCUGACCUCAGAGACUUAAUUUUUACUAAUUGCCCCCUGUCUAUGCUAUGUACAGUAGGAAUCACUAAUACCCAGUCUGUAUUUAUUUAAUUUUUUUUGCAUUUUGCUCAUCAUAAAUGAUUUUGUUUUUAUUGGAUUUUUUAAAAACAAGGUUACAUUAUAAUAUCACUUAUCUUGAUUAUUGAGUUUUUUGGUAAAACUUUAAUUUUGUGACCAAAUAGAGGGCAUCAUGGGCCUUGCUUGCCUCGUCCCCCUAUCUUUUCCUCUUAGGCUCUGUGCAGAUGCUUGCAACAGUAUAUAUUGUCUUGCUAAAGGGCCACCCUCUUGGUAUUGGUCAUUGUAAGGGAAGGGAAGAGAGAGUCAAUUUUACUCAGGAAGGAAUAACUGUUUGAACUUAACUUGAAACAAAAGCAGUCAGGAAAAUACACUUUAGAUCUGCAUGACCUUGAGGUUAGGCCUUUGAAUCUCCCCAGCUGAUCCAUGAAAUCUCAUCUUGCCUCCUGUGAUAGGAAAUGAAUAAGGACCAUCCUGGAGGUGGGGUCAUUUAUAAACCUGACCCUCUGGGUGCAAGAUGGUGCUGAUGGGAAGGUUGGAAAGUAGAGCUCAAAUGGCAUAGCUUUUCCUUUCUCAUUUCCAUCCAAGUGAGUAAGUCUGCCCCAGGGAUUAAGCAUUUUAUGGGGUCUUCUGCCAUGCUCAUGAUCAAGCAGGGGCUAUACAGUAUUUGUCCCUUACAGUCCUUUAGCUUUGAGAAUAAAUAAGCAAAGGAGAGGUGAUUGUGUGGGCUUCCAGGAUUCCUUGCUAAUAUGACCAUCUACCACAGUGUUGAUUCCACUUUCCUUGAUCGCUCAGGAUACUGUUGGCAAAUCAUGCAAUAUUUUUUAAGCUUUGAGGUUCUGGAGGAGUGUUAGCACCUUUAAAUAUAGCCUUGGAAAAAGAUGCUUUCUGUUAAAUGUUGAUACUUUCUUCCAGUCCUACACAAAUCCUCUAUCUCUCACUACCUUAAUGGUAAAAAACACCCAGUGUUCAGUCUCAGCCACAAGGAAGUUACUAAGCAAACCUGAUUCUCAUUAACAUGAUACAAGUCUUUUUUUUUCUCUUCAAAUUGAUUCUGGCUUGAAGCAAAGUGUCAGUAAUGCCUUUGUUCCAAUUUGUUCUUUCAAUAUUUGCAAAUAUGCCUGAAGAAUAUAUUAAAAUGUCAGAAUUUGAAGCAUUGGGUCAUUUACCUUUGUAAACAUGUGUCAAGGUCUACCCGAGUGCUGAAAUCUCUAAGACAGUGGUGGUUCUUAAACUUCAGCAUAUGUCAGAAUACUAAGAGGACUUAUUGGUCCAGAAUGAUUGGGCUCCAUUUUUAAUUUCAAAUUAAGUAGCUCUAAAGGGUGAUCUAAUAAUCCACACUUCUAACAGGUUUCCAGAUGUGAUGGUUAAUGUUGGUUGUCAACUUGAAUGGACUAAGAGACACAUAGAAAUUAUUACCAAAAGGUGGGGUCACUGUGGAGACUAUACCUGACCCUGAGUUGUUCAGAAGUCUUUGGAAUUGGCUUCUGAGAAGAAUCUGGAAAAGUUUGAAAAGCAGAAAAGAGAAAGAUUAGAGUACCAUAAGGGGAGUUUAAUGGGCAAUGGAGGUCUCAGAAAAUCAGAAUGCUGAUAGAAAUGCACACAGUAAAGGUUGUGCUCCUGAGGUUGCAGAUGGAAAUAAUAACUCUACUGAGAACCGGAAUAGAGAGUACACAGACUACACUCUGGCAAAGAAUUCAAAUGCUUUAUGCCCAUGCUGUGAGACUUUGUGGAUGUCUGAGUUUAAAGGUGACACAUAAGUUUAUCUGGUGGAGAAAAUUUCAAGGCAGCACAGCAUUCAGGAAGUUGCUUGGCAAUUGCAGGGUGCUUUUAACCAGAUUAAUAGCAAGAGCGGGGUACAAAGAACUAAAUGGAAAGAUUUUUCAUGCUUGCAGAAAGUAUUUAAUACUCAGGGAAAAAAAAGUGUAUAAAGUUCCAGCCAAAGAAGGUCCCGUUGCUGAAGAUAUUAGUGCCAUUCAAAAGAAGACAAGUACUUUUCACUAGGAGGAUAAGAAUUCCUUGAGGGAAUUGGCAAGACCCUACCCAUCACACUUUCAAAACUGUAAAGGUGUAAAUUCAUUUCAAAAACUUUCAUUCAAAGAGUAGAACCCCAGGGUAUCCUGCUUAUUCAGAGUCACCUAGAGAAUUGUUUUCCCGAAAUUCAUUUCCCCAUAUUCAGCCACCAAAGCACUCAGAAACAACUACAGCUGUAGUUCCAAUACAGCUGUAGUUGAUACAGCUCACACUGAUGGCAGAUCUUGGCAUCAUUCACAUACACUGGUUUUUCAGGAAUGCUGAAUGCAAACGCUAAGGGUUAUGGAAACUUCUACUGGGUUAUCAGAGGAAAAUUUGUGAGACUAAUCAGCUUGUAUCAGGUAUAGAGUCCCCAAAAUCAGCCUCUGAUAGGGUGAUGCAUAGUAAAACUAUGAGAUUGAAGCCAAAGCUACAAUGGAACCCUUAGAAGUUAUAGAUGCCAGGAAUAUGGAAUACCUGCCAAGGAAAACUGUAGGAACUGAGCAAAGCCAAUCCAUGAGAGUGGCCAUGUGGGCUGCAGCCAGUAAGGUCUCAUACACAGAGCUACCUUUGGAGUUCACAGUGCUGUAACAUGUGUCCCCGAUGCAGACAGGAAGCUAAACCCACAUACACCCUGUUAGGUUUGGGUCUUGCUUUGGUUUCAUCCUUCCUUUUUCAUACCUAUUCCUCCCUUAAGUGUGUAACCUGUUUCUUUGAUUUUUACAAGGGCUCACAGAUGAGUUUGCCUUGAGACUCUGAGGAGACUUUGGAACUAGAAUUUUCAGCAAUGUUGGAACUGUUAAGACCUUGGGGACUCUUGGAGAUGGACUAAACGUACUUUGCAUUGAGAUGGACAUGAGCCUCUGGGAGCCAAGAGCAGGCAGAAUGCCCUAGUUUGGAUCUGGAUUGUCCCCCAAAGGUCUAUGUUUUAAAGACUCAGGUGCCAGCCUGUGGCACUAUUGGGAGGUGCUACAACUUUGGGGAGGUGGGGCCUAGCAGAGGGAAGUUGCAUCAUCAGGGGCAUGUCCUUGAAGGGGUACACUGGGAAUACUGCAAUGCCAGUCAAUCUCCCUCCCUCCCCGGCCCCCUUCUCCUUCUUGGCCUACAUGACACAAACAGGCAUCUUUUGCCACAUGCUUCUGCCAUGCCACACUGUGCCACCACAGGUCCAAAGUAGCAGGGCCAAGCAACUAUGGACUGAACUGAAACCUCUGAAUCAAAAGCCAAAAUCAACCUUCCUAUUUUAAAAUUGAUUAUCUCAAGUAUUUUAUGACAGUGACGAAAAGCUGACUAAAAUUCCAAGUAACACUGAUAUUCUUUAUUGGAGAACAUGCAUUAAGAACUUAGUUCAUAAGUUCAAGUCAGUGCUUUAACUGUCAUUUGAACGACACUAUAAGUUCAAUGUAGACAGAUAAUGUCUUUUCAUUUUCCCAAUUAAGGUAGACUAUACUUCUUAUUUAUAGAAAUUUCUUUUUGAAAUUUAUAUAUCUUAUAUCAUCCCUGUCUUCUUCUAUGCCCUUGAAGUCUUUUCAUCCAGCUUGUAGGUGGUGGAAGAAGAUACAGGGGGGACACACCUUCUUCUUAACAACUUGUCACAGGGGCAGCAUGCAGUGCUGGAAAGAAGGGAAAUGAUAUUGUUUAGAGGGUGCCUAAGAAGAAAUAGAAUGUGUUUCAGUGAAUUUAUAACCCUUUUUGCUACACUUACCAAGAAUAUUAGAAAAUUCUAUUUUGUGAAAAUUAUUCAAUUAAUAAUCUCAAAUUUUCACUUUGCAUCAACAUUACCCACAUCCAAGAUUAGUUGUUGUGCUCUGUGUUCCUUUCCUCAUUAUUUGUCAUGUUGCAGUGACUCAUCACUCCUUUCUAUAGAGAAAGUGCUCCCUCUCUGUAUACAGGGGUCUGAGGAGAGAUAGCAACAAGUAGAGGAAGAUGCCAAUUAUCCUUCCGAGAACAGUGAUUUCGUUUUAUAAAAACUUCCAGACACUGAAAGACAAUCUGACAAACUCCCUUCUACUUUAGGGUACCCACUAUUCUCACACUCUUUUGUUAAUGGGGAAAGAAGAUAAGUUGAUAGGGAGUAGAAGGGAGGAAGAAAAGAAACUUUUCGUGCUCCUUUUUACCCAUUUUGUUCCUUCCAUAUUUCAAUUACAUGUAGUCUGUACAAGAACAUGAGAAUGAACAUCUGGCUGGAGGUCAAUUUUGUUGCAAUCAGGAUUCUGACAAAUUGAAUGAUGUAUAACUAUGCAUGUAGCCAAAGAUCCUUAAAAUAGCUCUGAAACCAUCACCUGCUUGCAGACAUAUCAUUACAUAUGAUGAAAUAAUGUCUUUGUGUGUCGAGUAAGGUUAAAAAAGAGACAUUCACAUUGGAGUCAGUUUGCUUCCCACACCUUCCUGGAAUUUACAAGGAGAGAAUGAAUUGUCAUGAAGUCUAUUCUGGCUGCUGGCAAUUCUGCCCACAUACUUGUUUAUAUACUUCUCCCUGUCCCUUCUGGGGCAACUCGUUUCUGUAUAGAAAGUCUAAGUCACUGAAGAAAGCUCCUCUGUAGAGAUUUUAUAUCAUUAGAGAUCCUUAGGACAAGGAGUUGGUGUACUGAAACCAUUUCAGAAUAGCAACAAGGUAUUAAAUAUACAUAACUCCUUGUAUUUUUCACAAUAAUGCUGCAUACAUGUUCUAUGUAUAAUUUGCAAAACAAAUACAUGGUAGGUGCUAUUUAUCUCCAAUAUAUAGAUGGGAAAAAUGACAUGCAAAGGGGCAGAGUGACUUUGUCUAAGGUCACAAAAGGGACUUUGAGAGGAAAGUAUGACUAAACUGAUACAAAAAGCCUUAAUGGAAUUUUGGAUCCAAGCACGUGCUAAUAUACUCCCCAGUCCCUAUGCUAAGGGACUCUUUUCUACUUCUUUCAUAUAAUCUACCUAAUAAGAGUAGUUCGUGAAGUUUGUGAAGUGAAUUUCUUAUAUAACUGUAAUAAAAUUUAGAUGAAAUCUUUUGGAAAAUGAAAUUCGCAGUGUGCUCAGCCAUUAGCUUAAGGGAAUUCUAACAUAAUAAACACACAUUCUAGACAUCAAAUUAUUUAUCUGCAGUGAAAAUGAUGAUGUCAAAAUAUCAUAGACAUAGCUUAAGCAAGCAAAUCAUCAAAACACUUCCUAUCAGCCUCUCUGCAUUCAUGAAGUGAAUAAAAUACUGCUCCAACAACUCCUACAUAUUUCCGUCUUCUCAUCCAACAUACUUUCUGGGAAACACAUAUCCAGGUAAGCUCAAGUUGGAUUUAUUACAGAACCUUGGAAUGGGUUCAAUGACCUAGCACUUCCAUUACAUUUUCUUUUUUCAAAAAUGUAUUAUCCCAUAAUCACCAGAAAGGUGAUUGUGUGAACAUCUUCUGCUCUUAUCCUCUCUUUCAGUUUUCAUUUGUAUAAAAUUAAAUUAGGGAAAAUCAGGGUAGAUGUCAAAAGAACACCCAGUAGUUCGUUAGGAAGCAAUGAUAGACCCAUUCCACCAGUUUUAAAUUUCAAGGUCCUGUUCUGGUUACAGAGGGUCCUCAACUGGGUAGAGGUUCCUCUAACUGCACUUUCAUGGUGCAAACUGAAUUUUUUUCUAUGACAAUGUACUUAUUUAACCUACCUUCAUGAUUAUCAGAUGAAAGGCAUGCAAAAUGACCCCUAACACAAAGACAGGCUAUAAAGCAAAGAGGCAACAGUUUCUCUUCUGCUUUCCCAGAAUGUGACUUCUCUUACAUCUGUGUAUACAAAGCUCCCUCUGGAAUUGUUUUUUGUGUUGUAACCAAAUGGUGGACGGUCUGAGGUACUGCGGAAUAUGUUGUGGCAUAUCCUGUGAAUUCCCUUCUCUCCAGCUUGGUUUUAAAUGACCUCGUGAUGCUGACUAACAAUUUGGGCUUCAUCCAGAGCACUGAGCCUUGCCGGCAUUAUGAUUACAUUUUUUUUUGCAUGGUCUACAUUGCUACAUUAAACUCCAGAUGCUUUCUCGCAAGACACUAAAUUAACAUCACACACAUUUUUAGCCCAUUUGCAUUACACUAGGAUCACAGGAGGAUUAUCCCCCAGAAAAAGGUGAAUGUGUGAACAUCUUCUGCUCUCUUCCUCUCAUCGGUUUUCACUUAUACAAAAUUAAAUGAAGGAAAAUGAGGGUAGAUGUCAAAAGAAUAUCCAGUAGUUUGUUAGGAAGCAAUGUCCCUAUCAGGAGAAAACAAAUUGCUAUCCUAUGACUGUCAACAGAUUGACAUGUUUUAUGAAGUGCAAGUGACAACCUUUAAUGUAAGUACUAACAAAAUUACUGUUGGAGAGCUUUUUUAGAAAACUAAUAUUCUUUAUGACAUGAAAUAUAUUAAAAUGUCAGUGUUUUAACCAAUGUUUAUAAAAAUAUAUUAUGGUCAUUUAUUGAGUUUAUAAAACACGUUAUGGACUAACAAGAUAAAAGAUGCUCUGCAAAUAAAGUUGCUAUUAUUUAGAGUAUAUGUCUGAAUUUACCAAGCAUAGAUAGGUAGCAUAUUAGAUCUCAUUUUGAACUGGAUGAUGCUACAGUUUGGAAGACAAAGAAAUUGGUCUCAACAAUGUUUAGAACUUAAUCAAAUUUGUUUGUACUUCUGUGUAAGUAUUUUCAUGAAGUCUUGUACAACUCAAAAUAUUUUUAUUAUCUACCUAAGAAAUUGGUUCACAAGUCUAAGACUGCAAUUGCCUGUUGCCUUAUAAUUCUAUGUACUUAAAUGUAACUCUCAUUAGAGUCUCAGCUUCCUGAAUCAGGCUAAGCACAUUGUUUUCUAUUUUGGUCCCAAUACCUGGUUUAGGGUAGGGCACAUAGUAGGCAAUCAGUAAAUGUUUGUUGAAUCAAUAAAUGAUACAAUGCAUGAAUGAGACCUAGUCAAAUGCAUUAACCUAUCCUCUAAUCACAAACUUGAAUGGUAGAGACAGCACAUGUAUUAUACAGAAUGGCUUUUCCAUUUGGGAAUCAGACAGACAUUUUUAAAGUAACUGUUAUUAAUCAGAAAGCCACAGCUUCAGACUAUUCAGGCUUAUUAGCAAAGGGCAUUUUUGCUGAGAGGAACCUCAGUUCAGGCUGUGACUCUGGAUUGUCUCUUUUUAGGAACAAGAGGUUGUUCAGUGAAAGGACCCUCAAGCUAUACAAUUCAGGCUGGAGAUCCAUGUGGGUAACUGGUCUUCAUAUGUCAAUGGAUGGCAUCCUAAAUUUUCAAUAUUCUUUCAUGCAAAACUGUUGGGGGUAGGAGGAGACCUGGGUAAAAAGGAUGAAUUGUCUUGACUUUAAAGAUACCGGUAUAAUUUCACACCCCACUAGGUUAUUGUCCCUCUCCUGACUUCUCUGUUCCUUCAAACUUUGGGAAACAACAGAUUGCUCCCCCAAAGCCCGUGCAAUUUCACUUUGAAGAAGACUGAGACAUAAUUUAAGCAUGGAAGAUGUUUUAUUUUACUAAGCAUAUUCAGCUCAGAGAGACACUGGAAAUGGCUUUGAAGGAGCCAAAGUGGCAACCUGCCAUAUGUGGGGUGCUAAAACUAAACUCAGGCUUAAUGGGGCUGCAGAUUCAAAAUGAAGUUUAUUUGAAAAUGCAAUUACAUUCUAGAAAAUUUGAAAAUUAGAGAAAAUCAUAAAGAGAGGGAAUGUUGCCACACCAUAAUCCUAUCCCCAAUGUGUACUCACUGUUUAUAUUUUGUGUUUCCAUUUUUUAUAUAUGUCCACCCAUACUUAAUAUAUACGCACCCUAACACACACAUACACACAACACACACACACACACAUGCAUCUUGUUAAAAAGUAUGGACAUACUACUUAUAAAAUUUUAUAUUCUAUUUUUGUUUCCACUUGGAUUAACUGGUAAUUAAAGGCUGAGCUGAAUUUAAAGCACAUUUAUCUAAUGACAGAAAAACUGCCAUUGACAAUUUAAAGUGAAACAUUUCUAAAAUUUCAUAGUACCUUAGAAAUCAUUUACUUAAAUCUCACACACACUUCUCUCUUUCUCUCCAUAAAUGAAGAAAACAAGCAACUGGGUGGCAUCACACGUACUUUUCCUGUGUACAUGGUCCUCCUUUAUGCACAUAUAGGACAUAAGCACGGUGCAGUUGGGGAAAGUACCAGUUCUGGAGUCAGACUGCCUGUUCACAUCUUGACACUGACACUUAUUACCUUUCUGAUAUGGAGCAAAUCCUUCACAUAACCAUUUCCUCUUUAGUAAGAGAGAUUAAAAUAUGCCUGUCAUAUGAUUAUCAUGGAAAUACAAUGAGUAAUUAUGAAGAGCACUUAGAACAGAGGUGGAUGUUUAAUAUGGGCUCAGAAAUGUUAGCUAUUAUUAUUAAUAAUACACAUACUAUCUAUAUUUAGGAGACAAGUCUUAUCUACAAUGACCAGUUCAUGGUCACCUUGAACUCCUUUCAGACAUCCCCUCAAAAGACUAAAUAUAAAUAUCAGUGAUGUGAUUUUUUGAUCAACCCAUCAGUUGAUCAGGAAAAAAAAAAGUAUAAUAAAAUGUAUUCAUGCACAGGGACUUGGGAAGUUAUGAAAGAAAUUUACAAUGUGGUUUAUAAAUUUCACUGUAGAAACAAAACUUGGAAAUGAAGUAAUUUUGAUAAAUGUACUAGCCAUGUACAUCAUAUAUAAUCAUGUGUAUCCAACCAUGUGUAAAAUCACAUAUUAUCAACUUUGAUUAUGGCUUUUAAAGAACAUCUACUCUAAUGGGCCUCAUUUCAUAGAGAAAGAAACAAAUCUGGUUAUGCUGUGGACCUGACUUAAGGAUCCUCAGCUUGUCAGUGCAGAGUGACCAGAACAGCAUGCUCACGAUUCUCAAUCUGGUACUCUUUCCACAACCCAAUGACUACCUUUAUGUGACAAGGUACUAUAGUUCUGUUAGAAAGUCCCUGGAAGUCCUAUGUGUUAAAGGCCUCAUCAUAAGCCUGUGGUGCUUCUGGGAGAUUGCAGAAACUUUAAGAGGGGGUAUCUAUUGAGAAUUCUUAGAUCACUGGGGGCAUGUGCUCAAAGGUGAUAACAAAACCCUGACCCCUUCCUCUUUCUCUUUUUGUUAUCCUGCAGAAAUUCUCCUCCAUGUGUUCCCCAUCAUGAUAAGCUGCUUUAUUAUAGGCUCAAAGCAACAAAGCCAAGCAAUCAUGGACUGAAACCCUCAAACUGUGAGCCAAAAUGAAAUGUUCCUCUUUUUAAGUUAAUUGUCUCAGGUAUUUUGUCACAGUAAUGGAAAGCUGACUACCACAUUAAAAAAAAAGAGGAAAAGGUAAGUGUAGAGUGAUUCAGGAUGGGUUUCAUGGAAAAGGUGGAAUCCAGUGGGUUUUUUUGUUUGUUUUUGUUUUUUUGCUGUUGUUGUUGUUGUUUGCUUUUCUUUUUUUAGGGAAAUGUUUGGAAAUGAAGUCAGAAGAGGAGACAGCCAAUCAGAUAUAGAGAAAACAAGGGUAGGUACUGUAGCAGAGGAUUGUUGGGGUGAAUUCAGGGAACAGUGAAGAGGUCAGGGAAAUUUGACAUGCUUAACUUCAUGUGGACGGAUGUUUUUGCUCAUAAGAGUCUAGUUACACUGAGGACCUUGGCAAAGAACCAAGAGACCUUUAUCCUGAAUUAAAAUGAAAGACAGGAGAACCCACUCUGCUCAGAAAGUCAGUGGUCAGUACAAGGUUGAAUAAACCUUUCCCUAUCCUUUCCCCCAUUUGCAGAUACAGGAACUUGAUUCUGGAAAAUAAUAGAAAGAGGCAGCAUGUUGGAGUAUCAUGCUACCAGAGUGACGCUGAGUAAAUCUCUCAUGCUCUCAUUUGUUCAUCUGUCCAAUAGUGAAUAAUAACACUGUCUUGCUCUUGGGUCGCCUUUCAAACAGAUAAUAAGAUAUGUGUGCUUAUGCUCUGCGAACAACGAAGUGUUAUAAUUUUGACUGAAAGAAUUUCUUCAGCUCUCCCCUUUACCAACAAUGAUCAACCCCAAGCUAACUCUAGAAUUUCGCUCUUCCCUCCUAGGAUGGCUAAUGCAGCUGGGACCCAACCAUGGAACAGCUGCACCAAGCAAUUGAGACCCUUCCUUGGAAAUCACAGCACAGUUCACGAUGAGCUGCAAAUGCAUUGCAGUGACUGAUUAAAAAAUACAAGAUGAAAUAUUGCAGCUAUCAAUAAUUCCUGCACAUGGCUGACUUCUAAUGAAAGAAUAAAGUUUCUGAGGGAGAGAGAAGAAAUGAAGAAAAGUUUUUUUUUAUCAAUUUCAGAGGAACACUUUGAUAUAAUCCUGAAAAUUUCUCUUGGUGAAAUAUUUUCUUUCAUUACCCUCCAUCAUACAGUGUUUGUUUAAUUUCCCCCUUUCAGCAGGUAUAUAUUUCAGUUUUUAAUUAAAAAAAAAAACAUUGCUGUUCCUCAUUGGUUUCCCCAAAUCAUUUCAUUUCCUAUUUCUUAGCUUCUCUUUGGAAUUUUUGCUGCUGUUGUGGUUGCCAAGGAUGAGAAAUCUCUUCUGAUAUUUUGUUCUCUAAAACUUUUGUUUCGAAGGUAGAAUGUGAUCAUAGGCGAUUUAAUUUCCCUAGACUUCAAUUUCCAUGUCAACCAAAAAAAAAAAAUGUAAUUUCCGCUUCUACCUCCAACACUUAAAAGCAUAGCAUUGCUUCUAUUAGUAAAUUCCUCUGAAAUAUUUUAGUAAAAAUAUUAUUAAAAAUAAAGCAUCUGUAGUGUAAUUAGUAGAUAUGCUACAACAUCGGUGUGGAGGCUUUGUGAGGCCGUGAUAGCCUGAAAUCUCUCUAGCUGCUUGGUGGAUUUGGGAAUUGAAGGUCACUCAACGCAGUGACCUACAACAUUUUUCUUUUCCUUCUAUUUAGUUUCCCUUUUUGACUUCUGCUGUGUCUUCCUGGGCUGGUCUUCUUCCUGGUCUUUUGCCCAUAUAAUAAGAAUUUGUCUCAUCCUUUGGGGAUCUCUGGGCCUUGUGUAAGAAAAAUCAGCAAAGAGACAAGAAGCAUUUUCUCCCUAGCCCCAUCCCGCCAACUUCACAUGGGAGCCUCACCUACAGGGGCCACCUCUACUGUGAGCUUGAGGCAUGACCUUCCUCAUAGUUCUCUAAAUAGCUUUAUGAAUAGAUCUUGGUAGUUUGUCUGAGUCCUAGACUUCCAGACAGGCUGGAGUAUAUGGGAAUUAGCUAGACUUUGAGGUUAUGGUCACAGUCCUGUAAACUGCCGUGUCCGCCCAUUACUGCUGACACCAAUUUCAAGUUGGAGAGUUAUCCAAAGCCAUCCUCAGAUUCCAUAAUUGACUAGAAAGACUUGCAGAGUUUACUAAAAGCCCUUGUUCUCACAUUCAUGUUUGUUACAAAAGAAGGAAUUUAAUUAGAACCAAGCAGAAGAGAUGCAUGGGGCAGAGUCUAAAUGAGUUUCAAACACAAAACUUCUGUCAUCCUCAGGAUGUAUUACCCUCCUGGCAUCAGUGUGUGACAACAUGUAGAGGGGAUCACCCACCCAGGAAGCUGCUGGGAGUUUGAGUUCGUGGUGUUUAUUGAGGCCUUAUUAUAUAGGGUGCACUGAGCCUUUAGAUCAACCCACACUUCAUCACCAAAAGCCUCCUCCCUCUAAUCAGAUGGGUACCUUCCUGGCAUAGUCAGUCCCCCGCCCCUUAAGUCUAUCAGGUAUGGACAGCCCCACUCUAAUAACACUAUCUUGCUCAUGGGUUGCCUUUCAAACAGAUAAUAAAAUACAUAAACUAUCAGGUAACCUCCAAAGCCCCAUUGUGAAAAAAACAACCUCUAUCUAUGGCUUGGGGAAUUACAAGAAGUUCAAGGUUAUCUUCCCCCUGGGAGCCAAUGACAAAAGCUAGACCUUUAUUUGGAUGGAACCAGAUUCCUUAUCACUCAAGAUGCAAAACAAAGAAACAAUGAAAAUGUGGAAAAUUCAUAAUCACGUCCACCUGCUUCAAGAAUAACUUUAGUCCCCAGCUCACCUCUUAUACUUUGUAAAGGAUCGAAAUAGGGCAUUGAUACAGAAUUGUUGUUGGUACCCAUUACUUGUUUAUUUAAAGCAAUACUAAAAUGUUUCUGAAGUUCCAAAUGUUAUGAUCUCCUAUACACUGAAUUUUUUUAAGUAGUAUUUAAUGUUGUUUUUCAUGUAAGAAGUCCUUAAUGUUCUGAAUCAAAUUCUCAUUUUUCUUCAAAAGAUCUCUCCUUCUGAGAAGAGCAUUUGCAACCACAAAGUGCAUCAUUGGAGGAUCUGUCUGUUGACAAGGAUAUGGCUAUCUUGCUCCAACCCAGGUGUUUUCUAAACAAAACAUUUGAGUGAAUAACAUGUCUUUUCUGUACCAUUCGGUAAGACUGGGAGAUAGAAGCAAUUGCUAUAAGUUUUGUAACCAUAACGUUUUAUUUGGUUCUGUCUUAACAGUGCUUUCAACAUCUUAGGAGUGGCCUAAAAGAGUUUUAAAACAUUUCUACCCAUUAAGGGCAACAGGCGGGAAGCUCUUUUGUGAAUAGAGAUGCUAGUCCAAAUGUUUUGUCUGUAUCCAUGCUUGUCUCGGAACGGCUUUGUCUGUGAAGAGGAGGUUGUAAUAUGCAUCCGUGCAUAACCAUCUGCAUCUUCACAACACGUCAAUUGCUUGUAUAUUCACGGGUGGUGAUUGACUGAUUCGUGCAUGUCCGUGCAAUUUGGCGCUUUCAGCCGCAUGCUGGCGGAUGUGAGUGUAUUUCACAGAGGCAGGUUGGGCAAUAAAUUUUGAAACUUUAUCCUCAUCUUUGGAUAGAGUAAUAAAAGUUUGUAGGCUUAAGAAAGCAAUAUUCCCUGGAACUGCAAUAUAUGGGAAUGAUGAAACUGAACUAAAAUGUACAGUAAUCUCUAAGGCCUACCCAAGCCAGAGAGGUGCAAAGUGAGAACCAUAAAGCAAAAUUUAACACCCGCCACACUAAACGUCAUUUUCAGCCUCUGACCAAUUUCACACGGAAUUGGGAAAUAUGACUAAUAUCAAGGCCUGAUUCCCUGGGGGGCUUAAGCAGGAGCAUGUCAGGAGGAAAAGUGAUGGCCCAUUGUUAGUUGAGCCAAUGAGAGGUUGGCACUGGCUUAGCACAGUGUUCCACAGUCUCCCCAACAGCACCCUGCUUUCCCCUUUCUUGAAUUCCAUCUGCUAUUCACAACAAGAUUUGCAGCCAGUCUCAGGGAUUUGGGACCUCUUUAGGCAAGAGGUCUGGCCACAGCAGAGACCAAGGCCUUUCCUUUCUUUCGAGUUUAAUUUGGGAGCUGGGAGGGUUGACUCUUUCCUAGGCAACACUUUAUCCUAUACAGUUCAUGGUCACAAAGGAGAGGCCCCUAAUGAUAGGCGAACAGAGUAACCACACCUGCAUAACUAUCCAAAGAAACUGAGGAGUACAGUCAUCUCAUCUAAAGCACGCAUGCCCACAGUUAUUCCAUAAGCUGGAAAUGCUAUUCCAUUUUGUUCUUUUUGGUCUCCAUUGGAUAAUUAUGUUGAAUGCUGGGGCACGGGUUUCUUUCUUUUCCUUUUGUCUUCUUCCUUUCUUUUCUUUUGCCCCCUCCCCCUUUUAAUUCUUAUUAUUUAACUACAGGACUCUCUCCAGCAAUCUGGUUCUGCGUCCAGCUUGACCACCUCGCUCUGUCUUGCACCACUGAUUAGACCCACCUGGGAUGAUGGUAGAUACAGCCACGCAGGACUAUCCACUUUGCUCAAUGUCCCUGGUUUAUUACAGGAUCAUUGUUGUGACAGAAACAUGUCAGCAAUGGCUGCUUUCCACUGAACAAUGACUCCUAGGCUGUGGCUAUGCAAGCAAAGCAAAGAGGAAAGACGAGCAAUUAUCCAGUGGAUGUGAUCCAUGCUGACAGCCAAUCUGGAUAAUUCAAAUAGAAACAACUUCCUUUGCCUCACUAGCAGGUUUGGGGCUUGAUUUAGUGAGAUCAUUGUUUAACUUUCUUUGCCUGUGGAAAUGCAGUACAUGUGUCUGCUGGUUAAGUGACGGUUUGGGGGUUAUAACCACAGCAUCUGUUAAUUUGACAUUCAAGUUUCACUGUGGGUUGGAAGCCCUUGUGUCUAAAAUUUAAAAGUAGCAAUACGUACCUCACCCCCAGCUGUCUGGGAACUCAGACUGCAUAGGCUUCUUGGUUUUCUAAUCUGCCCAGAGAAAUAAAACCAUCACCUGAGCCAAAGAGUAGUUUGCCUAAUUGGAUUUUUUUUUUCAUUUUAGAGAUCCACAAAGUGUAGUGUAAUGUCACAGUUGUCUGAGUGACAUUAUGGGCUGAG
rnacentral:lncRNA from 1 species